rnacentral:snRNA from 1 species
AGCUUUGUGCAGUGGCAGUAUUGUAGCUAAUGAGGUGUGAUUAUUGCUUAUUAA